rnacentral:rRNA from 1 species
AAGAAGUCCCGGCUAACUUCGUGCCAGCAGCCGCGGUAAUACGAAGGGGGCUAGCGUUACUCGGAAUUAUUGGGCGUAAAGCGUGCGUAGGCUGCUUAGUAAGUCAAAAGUGAAAGCCUUGGGCUCAACCUAAGAAUUGCUUUUGAAACUACCAAGCUUGAGUACUGUAGGGGAUAGCGGAAUUCCUAGUGUAGGGGUGAAAUUCGUAGAUAUUAGGAGGAACACCGGAGGCGAAAGCGGUUAUCUGGACAGUUACUGACGCUGUUGCACGAAAGCGUGGGGAGCAAACAGGAUUAGAUACCCUGGUAGUCCACGCUGUAAACGAUGAGUGCUAA